rnacentral:misc_RNA from 1 species
UUCAAGAAUUCACACCCUUUUUGGCCUUUUGAUGAUUGAAUUUGUCCCUUUUCUUGAUUUUUGCUUAGUUUUCCUUUUUGGGUGUUCUUUAUUGCAUUUCAUUUCUUAUCAAUUUUUGAGAUUUUUGUAGUUGUUGUCAAUUGCCAUGGCCUCAUGGGUUUAGUGGUUUUUUUGGGGUGGGGGGUGUAUUUGAUUUGGGGUUG